UACGAAGGUGGCAAGCGUUGUUCGGAUUUACUGGGCGUACAGGGAGCGUAGGCGGUUGGGUAAGUCCUCCGUGAAAUCUCCAGGCUUAACCUGGAAAGUGCAGAGGGGACUGUUCAGCUAGAGGAUGGGAGAGGAGCGCGGAAUUCCCGGUGUAGCGGUGAAAUGCGUAGAGAUCGGGAGGAAGGCCGGUGGCGAAGGCGGCGCUCUGGAACAUUUCUGACGCUGAGGCUCGAAAGCGUGGGGAGCAAACAGG
rnacentral:rRNA from 1 species